GGGUUCGAUCAUACCAGCGCUAAUGCACCGGAUCCCAUCAGAACUCCGAAGUUAAGCGCGCUUGGGGGCGAGAGUAGUACUAGGAUGGCUGACCUCCUGGGAAGUCCUCGUGUUGCACCCC
rnacentral:rRNA from 1 species